GUCACUGCCUUUGCCACUGUCACUGCGAAGGUCUGGGCAGCGCUGUGUGAGAGAGGACAAGGCCACAGAAUGACAUACCUCAACAGAUAAAAGAAGGGGACUUACAUACACACCGUUGUUUUACUUGGAAGGAAUGGAGGAUUCUCCUUUUUUUAGGUGAAAUAUGGGGAUGUCCUUAUCUCGCCAGUGGCUUUCCUAAGGAAAAAAAGGAGCAAAUGAUACCAAGACAAGCUCAUAACAGAGAUCUAAACACCAGAUGUGUACGGACAAGAAUACAGGUACAAAUGAAUUUCUCAUCCUCUUUUGGAUCUGUAUCUAAAUUACUGUAUAAUGAUCACUACUAUU
ensembl:lncRNA